GACGAACGCUGGCGGCGUGCUUAACACAUGCAAGUCGAACGGAAAGGCCCUGCUUUUGUGGGGUGCUCGAGUGGCGAACGGGUGAGUAACACGUGAGUAACCUGCCCUUGACUUUGGGAUAACUUAAGGAAACUGGGGCUAAUACAGGAUAGGAGCUCGUGCUGCAUGGUGGGGGUUGGAAUGUUUCGGCGGUUGGGGAUGGACUCGCGGCUAAUCAGCUUGUUGGUGGGGUAGUGGCUUACCAAGGCCUUGACGGGUAGCCGGCCUGAGAGGGUGACCGGCCACAUGGGGACUGAGAUACGGCCCAGACUCCUACGUGAGGCAGCAGUCGGGAAUAUUGCACAAUGGGCGCAAGCCUGAUGCAGAAGCGCCGCGUGCGGGAUGACGGCCUGCGGGUUGUAAACCGCUUUCGCCUAUGACGAAGCGUGAGUGACGGUAAUGGGUAAAGAAGCACCGGCUAACUACGUG
rnacentral:rRNA from 1 species